rnacentral:misc_RNA from 1 species
GAUGAAGAACGUAGCGAAAUGCGAUACUUGGUGUGAAUUGCAGAAUCCCGUGAACCAUCGAGUCUUUGAACGCAAGUUGCGCCCGAAGCCAUUAGGCCGAGGGCACGCCUGCCUGGGCGUCACACGUCGUUGCCCCCCCAUCUACUCCUUCGGGAUUGCGGGGGGCGGAUGAUGGCCUCCCGUGCGCCUCGUCGCGCGGUUGGCAUAAAUGCCAAGUCCUCGGCGACUCACGCCACGACAAUCGGUGGUUGCGAAACCUCGGUUGCCCGUCGUGUGCGGUCGUCGCGCAUCGAGGGCUCGAAAAAAUUGCCGGGCUCCGGCUCGGCUUUCAACGCGACCCCAGGUCAGGCGGGGUUACCCGCUGAAUUUAAGCAUAUCAAUAAGCGGAGGA